rnacentral:ncRNA from 1 species
ACAGUACAAACUGAACAGGCCAGUCGGAGCCGGGCCGCAUUUGCGGCAGCAGAGCGUUUUACCUCUGCGGGACAGU